rnacentral:lncRNA from 1 species
CAGCAAUGGGACAGUUGUAAUCCAGCUACUGUGAGGAUGAAGAGAGGUGCUGCUUAAUGCAUUCAGGUAGCGAGGUAAUAGAUCUGAUAUAUAUAGGACCUAUAGUAUUAACCUGUGUUAGGUCGAGAAAACAAUUUCCAGUGGUUUUGCAUUCAGAAUUGAUAUAGCAGAUAUGUAUCUCACUUUGUACUCAGGUAAUCCAUAUUGCCAUGUCAGGAAGCAAGGACCAGGAGUGGAAGUGAGGGCUCCAAAACUUAUGGCUGGGUGGCCAUAUGAGGACAGUGGUGAAUUUUAGAAGCAGAUUUGAACCAUGCACCUGCAAUCAUCAGC